rnacentral:lncRNA from 1 species
UGGGAACUCCACAGCCUCCGCAACACUUUUCGUGCCGCCAUUUCUUCUCAGGGUCUUGCCGCCUUUCUCAAGCUCAGCCUGUGGAGUAAAGCGCAGGCACAUCUCUCAGAGACGAGGUCCAUUAUAUUGCCCAGGCUGGUCUCAAGCUCCUGGGCUCAGGUGAUCCUCCCACCUUGGCCUCCCCAAAUGCUGGAAUUACAGUUAUUGCUUGAUGGAUUCUGCUAACUCCCAGGAGAAUCCAAGUGGGAGGACAAGUAGAAGAAAAAAGAGUCCAAAGGCUGGAGCCCUCAGUUUGUUGUUUAUGGAACAUUCCUGCAGUCCCCAGAAGGGGCAUGGUAAGUGGACUAGACACCCAGUUUCGGGCAUUACUCAUCGGGCACCCAGACACUGGAACAGAGGUAUGUAGCAGAAGCCCAGUUAUCUAAACCCAGUCAUAAAGGCAGAGAUGGAGAAGCAAGAGUGGUUUGAUGUGGAGUCUCAGUGUGUUGACUUAAGCCCUUAAACUCUUCUGGCUUCGAUUCAGGUCUCUAAACUGGUUUUUAAGAGCUGGAGCAGGUCCGUCUGCAUGUGGAGUCCAGGUCAAGGUCUACCAUAUGGGAGGCCAGUAGUGUCACUACAAUUGUACAAUUUGCACAAAAGCACCUGGCCAGGCUGAAACCUAGCCCAGGGCUCCUGUUCUCCAAACCACGUGUUUCACACAGCCUGUGUUGUCUCAUCAACACCACCUUUUUGUAAAUCUGAAAAGAUUCCCUAUGUGCCUGGGGUGACCUGCCAGGAGGCUCAUUUGUCCCAGGACUCACAAUUAGGCAGCUCCCUAAAUUUAUACUUCUGGAGAUACCCCCAAGAUAUGUUAUUCCUACAGUCAGAGAGAUACUUAAGAUUGAAAGCACGAAACUGGUUCAUCGUUCACUUAAACCUAUGCCCUAUUGUAAGACAACCUAUCACUUGUGGUGUAACAUUUGUGUGAAUCAGAAAAAGGCAGAUACAGCCCUGCACCAGGUUUGGCAAUUGUGAACCAGAUUUUAAUCCCCGCUCUUCCCCUUGGUCGACCUGCACAGUCAUACCAGGUAGCUCUGCCUAGAUGUCACUUUAAAAAAUAAAUCUGGAAACUAUUUUGUAAAUUGCAAGCUUAUAUUACACAUAUUUUUUGUUGUAGAGUGUUAAUUGCUUUAAUAAUGAAAAAUCACACAGUUUUUAUAACUAAGUUUUAGCAUAUCUUCAUUUAAAAAUAUACCAGGACUAUUAAAAAAAAUGGAAGUGGGCUUGGUCUCUCGCUCUCUCUUUCUCUCUCGCUUCACCUUUGAGAAGGCCCAGCCAAGGAAGAGCAGGGAAGGAGGCUGGAGCUGGAGGCUUGCAGGCUUGACACCUUCCACUCCAAAUAUUGGAGAUAACUGAGGCUGCCUGUCAUCUCUAAUAAUUUUUCCUCCAGGAAAUGUCAUUGCUUCAUUGCAUUGCAAGAAAAUGAUGUCAUAGUAUAGGGCCCUGAUCCGUUUCCUGACUUUUAACCUGAGUCUCAUAACCUUUUUCAACUGUACUGAACCCAGAGAAAAUGAAACACAUCGAAAUGCGAAGACCAGCACAUCUCAUAAAGGCCUUUGAGGCCCCAGGGUGGGGUUAACUUAUGCGUAUAUAUUAAUGAUCAAAAUACAGUCUUGUUUGGGUGUCACAUCCUGGUUAUGGCAUGGACCCAGUACCUAGGAAAUGGAAAGGAAAUAGGCUUCAGGAUGUGUCUGUAAUUUCUUGGCAGAAACCCUUCCUCUUCCUAUAUUGGGUUUAAUUAGUAGUGACAAUGUUAAAUUUAAUUAGGAUGUCUUGCUUGUGUUUUCUUCUGUUGGUGGUUUUUGUUGUUAAACUCCCUGUGAAAAUCAAGAAUGGUCCCUGAACUGAUAUUUGAAAUCUUACAUGCUGCAUUUGUGUCUCCACAUCUUAGGACUGGUUACAAGCCCAGCCCAAAUGACAUUAUGGAGCUAUUUCCUGGAAUGUCAAGGGCUGAAAUUGCCCUGUCAAGAAUGAGUCUGUUCUUUCAGGGAUUUCAGAAAGCAAGGGCUCAAAUUGCAUUCUUGCUCUGUUAUUAUAAGUUUUUCCUGGCAGGAAACCACUGGGUCUCAGAAAAUUUGCAUAUAUCCAAUGAGAGUGAUCUACUGUUCUAUGGAGGUUUUCAAGAUUGCAUGACAACACCGUGGAAGAAUCUCAUAUGGGAAAAGGGGAUUUUUUUCCCCCUUUCCCUAAGCCCCAUUUUAAAUAGUUUCCUUCCCGCAAGCUGAUGUGUCCACAUUCAAAGAGUUAUAAGUAACCCAGCCCAUUUUCCUGCCUUGGCCUCUGCCACUGGUUCUAUAAUAUCAACAGCCACACAAAACUGGAAGCAGGUUGUUUAAAGUAAAGAUGCUUAUUCCUUCCAGUCUGUGAAACAGACUUUUGUGGCAUAUGAAGGCAAGAAAUAACCUUUUAGUUCUCCCAGGCAAGGGCACAGCAAAAUGACUCUUCAUUUCUUGUUAACUGUAAGGGCAAGAAAUACCCCCACAUAUUUCAUGAUAUCUGAAUAUAAUUUUUAAUGUUAUACCUGGGAUUUCGGUUAACCUAAAAGACAUGGUACUGGACUACUUCACUUGGUACCAUAAAAGUUUUGUAUCUGUUUGUACUCCUCAGAAUUGUGUACAAAAAUAUUAAAGUAAUUCAGAUAAUAUACUGACACAUUUGAAGUCCCUACUUGUGUAAUCACCAGACCCAGGACUAGAUAUUUUAUUGCUCCAUUAAAGUGACAAAUAAACAUGUGUUGACUGAAGAGCCAGGGGCUGGGAGGCACUUACAGGACUUCCAGACACCAAUCACAGGACUUCCUUUUAUGUCACAGGAAUCCAGUGAAGAAUGACUCAAGUAACUGCAUCAUGCUCACAUUAUUUGAGCAUUCGUACCCAUUAUUGGGUGUUCUGGUUAUUUAUUUGCUUAUAUUUGCUUUCUUAUUUAUAUCCCACUCUGUUCUGAAGAAAUUUAAGGUGACCACUGGGCAUUUUAUCAAGAAUUGGAGCUCAGGCUGCUAAGGCAUCAAUUGUAGGACCAGCUGUGUGCCUUUGAACAUGUCACUUAGCCUCUCUGAAUAUCGGAUUUUUCAUCUGUAAAAUGAAGGUAUUUAACAGUUUCAUGUCUAGAGUGUUAUAUGUAAACUUUUUUCUCAACUUGUUAAUUAUCAAACGCAUGGACUCUAUGUAGACUGUUACUCAAAGGCAUCCAAUAAAUGCGUUGCAUGACUCUAUAACACUACACGCCGAUUUUGAGUGCUCACAGUAUGUUGGAUUUUCUGCUCUGUGCUUUACCUAUGGGGUAUCAUUGAAUUCUGUCAGCACGCCUGUGAAUUAGCUGCCCCCAUCAGCUCCAUCUGACCAGGAGAAAACUGAGGGGUUGCCCUAAGAUCACAGAGGGCCAGGAUCUGGGUUUCUGGGCCAGGGGUUCCUCAUUCCAAAGCCCCACCCACUUUCUACUAUAGGACAUCUGUGCAUCCCAGACUUUAGUGUGCAUCAUUGUCAUCUGGAGUUCAACUUCCUAAACCAGAUUGAUGAGACCCAAGCCCACACUUUCCAGUUCAUGCAAGUUCCCAGGUGAUGCCGAUGCUGCUGGUCUGGGGACCACAAUCUGAGAACCACUGCAUUAUGCUAUAAAGAACUACAGUUGCAGGACCAAGACAUAAAGAAUGUAAGAAGCAGAUCUCUAACCAAAUGAAGAAAGAACCUGGACAUUUCGAGCUACUUAAUAGCUGAAUGGGUUGCCUCUUGGGAAUGGCUGAACUGUAAGGGGCAUAUAGACCUUGGGACAUUUGAUGAGAAGUUGGCCUAACGGACCUUGAAGGUGCCUUCUAACUAUUAAACUGUCAUGAGUGCCAAAGACAAGAGACAGAGAGUCUAGGAGGGAGGGUCACACUCCCUAUGCAGAAGGCCCUUCUCAUUACGGCACAAUUCAGUGUUUUAACUGUGCUUUGAAGAUUUUGAGUCACUUUGGUAAUGGCAAUGAAGAAAAGCUGAGAAAAACGUUUCCUCAAUUUAGGUAAUACGGAAUUACAGUUUAAUGAAACACCACACAAGGAACAAGAGAAACUUCAAGACAACAUUCAUUCACUGUAAAUUUAUAUUUCGAAUUUUAAAAUUUCUAUAACGAUAAUAAUAUAAUUUCAAUUUUUAUGUCAUAAUAUAUAAAUCAGAAAAAAGUUAAUUUUAAAAGGCUAACAUGUAAAACUAUUUAAAUUUUUAUUUUAUAAGGACAUAGAGGGAAAGAGUUUAAAGAUCAAAAUUAUUUUGUAAAUAUUUCAAAAUAAAGAUCACAUAUAAGGCAAAUUUAGGAGGAACACUGCUCCAAAUUUACUGUCCAUUCUUUUGACCCCAGGAAGAAAAAAAGAGACGUGUUUAUUUCUAUAGUUUAUCAAAGAAAAGAAAGUGUCUCUUCUGACAUUUAAUUUAGCCUUUUUUUUAAUGUCAUAGGAACCCAGGGAAGGAUGACUCAGACAACUGCAUCAUGGUCCUACUUAAGGAUUUAAGAGGAAUCAACAGAGAACAAAAUUGGUGGUAGUGGUGACAGGGGGUGGCAGAAAGAUAUAAAAAAGAAAUACAUGUGUAAUGAAAUAAUCUGGCAUAAUCAUAAAACAGGAAAAGCCAUCACUUUCGUGGAUGCGCCUGUCUAAGGAAGCGGGAAAGCUCUCUGUUGAAUACUCUUGUUGGUCAUUUGCUGUUAGUUUUGUCUGGUUUGGAUUGGGUUGGAGGUUUUCAAAAAUUAACAGAAGG